rnacentral:rRNA from 1 species
GAGCCUACGGGGGGCAGCAGUGGGGAAUAUUGCACAAUGGGCGAAAGCCUGAUGCAGCAACGCCGCGUGGAGGAUGAAGGUUUUAGGAUUGUAAACUCCUUUUGUUAGAGAAGAUAAUGACGGUAUCUAACGAAUAAGCACCGGCUAACUCCGUGCCAGCAGCCGCGGUAAUACGGAGGGUGCAAGCGUUACUCGGAAUCACUGGGCGUAAAGAGCGCGUAGGCGGGAUAGCAAGUCAGAUGUGACAUCCUAUGGCUUAACCAUAGAACUGCGUUUGAAACUGUUAUUCUAGAGUAUGGGAGAGG